GACGAACGCUGGCGGCGUGCCUAAUACAUGCAAGUCGAGCGGACUGAUUAAGAGCUUGCUCUUAUGACGUUAGCGGCGGACGGGUGAGUAACACGUGGGCAACCUGCCCUGUAGAUCGGGAUAACACCGAGAAAUCGGUGCUAAUACCGGGUAAUAUCUGAGAUCACAUGAUCUUAGGUUAAAAGAUGGCUCCGGCUAUCACUACAGGAUGGGCCCGCGGCGCAUUAGCUAGUUGGUAAGGUAAUGGCUUACCAAGGCGACGAUGCGUAGCCGACCUGAGAGGGUGAUCGGCCACACUGGGACUGAGACACGGCCCAGACUCCUACGGGAGGCAGCAGUAGGGAAUCUUCCGCAAUGGACGAAAGUCUGACGGAGCAACGCCGCGUGAGUGAUGAAGGGUUUCGGCUCGUAAAGCUCUGUUGUUAGGGAAGAAACAGUACCGAACGAACUAGGUCGGUACCCUGACGGUACCUAACCAGAAAGCCACGGCUAACUACGUG
rnacentral:rRNA from 1 species